AUGUACUUCAUCCUGGACAAGGCCAAUUUUCUACAGUGCGAAAAUGACCUCCUGCAGUCCUUUUGCCAUGCUUUCACCAUCCCUCCCAGCUUCUCCCAGCAGAUCCGGGCCUUCUGGCUGCUCGACCAUGGACACUUAUCAGGCUCAAUGGAGCUGCUGCUGAGCCCCAGGUCUGAACCACAGCCUGCUGAGGAGAAAGCAUUCCGCUUGGCGCUCAAGUAUCUAUACUGGAUCAGACCAGCCACAAACAGCCCCUACGACCUCAAGCUGUCUGUGGAUGUACUCCUACAGAACAGCCAUGUCUCAGACACCUGGGCCCUCCUAAAGAAAGGUCACACAGGAAGUGAUGACAUGGUCAGGUACUUCCUCAAUGGAUGUGAGAGGCUUGGCCUAUGUGUGGAGGCUUCAGGCUGCAUGGAAGCAGUAUGGAAGGAUGUAGGCCAUUGUACUAAUCAGUCAGAAGAGACUCAGAGUCAGUGUGGAAUAGAGGGGCUUCCUCAGCGUUGGUGGACCACAGGGAUCCCUAUGGCAGUGAAAGAGCCAGGGGUUCCCAUUCGUCCGUUCUCUGCCCUGCAGUAUCAGUCUCACACCAGCCUCUGCAGAGAGGAUUGGAUCAGACUCCUCAGGGAAUCUAUGAUUGAACUCAGACAACUCCAGCCAACAGUGAGGUACAGUCAAUAA
rnacentral:lncRNA from 1 species